rnacentral:rRNA from 1 species
AUUGAACGCUGGCGGCAUGCCUUACACAUGCAAGUCGAACGGCAGCGGGGGAGAAGCUUGCUUUUCCUGCCGGCGAGUGGCGAACGGGUGAGUAAUACAUCGGAACGUGCCCUGUAGUGGGGGAUAGCUAGUCGAAAGAUUAGCUAAUACCGCAUACGACCUGAGGGUGAAAGUGGGGGACCGCAAGGCCUCAUGCUAUAGGAGCGGCCGAUGUCUGAUUAGCUAGUUGGUGGGGUAAAGGCCUACCAAGGCGACGAUCAGUAGCUGGUCUGAGAGGACGAUCAGCCACACUGGGACUGAGACACGGCCCAGACUCCUACGGGAGGCAGCAGUGGGGAAUUUUGGACAAUGGGCGAAAGCCUGAUCCAGCAAUGCCGCGUGUGUGAAGAAGACCUUCGGGUUGUAAAGCACUUUUGUCCGGAAAGAAAUGGCUCUGGUUAAUACCUGGGGUCGAUGACGGUACCGGAAGAAUAAGGACCGGCUAACUACGUGCCAGCCGCCGCAGUAA